AUGCGAUAAGUAAUGUGAAUUGCAGAAUUCAGUGAAUCAUCGAAUCUUUGAACGCACCUUGCGCUCCUUGGCAUUCCGAGGAGCAUGCCUGUUUGAGUGUCGUUGAAUUCUCACACCCUACCUGAUCUUUCUUGAAAGAUCGGGGAGGAGGGUAGUUGACAAGAAUUUUCCCAGGUCUCUUCCAGGGGCAUGGGCCUUGUCCUAUCGGUUGUGGAUUGGUGGAGGUUUGCAGGUGGAUUGAGGUUGACCCCUCGAAGCCCUCUGCUCCUCUGAAAUGCAUCGGCGCACGGAUGCAGUCUCAAAAUGGGAUUGGUGUUGCGUUGCAGCUGUGGUCACGAACCCGUCGUUCGGCAUGAUACAUAUAUAUGUCUUACCUGCUUGCGACGGGCGUCGUGCACCCCAACGAUUUGACCUCAAAUCAGGCAGGACUACCCGCUGAACUUAA
rnacentral:misc_RNA from 1 species